rnacentral:rRNA from 1 species
AUUGAACGCUAGCGGGAUGCCUUACACAUGCAAGUCGAACGAGUGGAUAACGGUUGUGUCAUGUAACGGAACGUUCCCAGUAGCGCGCUCUAACUACGCGAAAAGUAGCCAAUAUCGCACACUAUUGCAUCGGCCGAUAUCGGCUUAGGUAGCUGGUGGGGUAACGGCUCACCAAGGCGACGAUCCGUAGCUGGUUUGAGAGGACGACCAGCCACACUGGGGUGGAGACAAGGCCCAGAGUCCGCAGAGUGGGAGGAGUAGGAGAUUGUGGGCAAUGGGGGAAACCUCGGUCUAGGGAAACGUCGUGUGUGAUGAAUGCUCUCGGGUUGGAAAGAACGGGUGGGAGUCAAGCGGUACCUGCAGAAUAAGCACCGGCUAACUACGUGCCAGCAGCCGCGGUAAUAC